UCUUCAUCGUUCCACGCCCCACCUCCCAUACCUAUCUCAAUCUUCAUCACUAAUCCCAGAAUGAAAGCACCCACUAAACAACAAAAACCCAAAUUUUAAUACCGAAAUCAAAUCUUAGUAGUAAACCCCCAAAAUACUGAGAAAAUGAAACGCGGCUUUAUUUAGCAAAAUUUAAUGCAUUCAGCAAAAUAAAAUUCCCCC
rnacentral:misc_RNA from 1 species